rnacentral:rRNA from 1 species
CAAUUUAAACAACGAAGAGUUUGAUCCUGGCUCAGGAUGAACGCUAGCGACAGGCUUAACACAUGCAAGUCGAGGGGCAGCACAGGUAGCAAUACCGGGUGGCGACCGGCGCACGGGUGAGUAACGCGUAUGCAACUUGCCUAUCAGAGGGGGAUAACCCGGCGAAAGUCGGACUAAUACCGCAUGAAGCAGGGGCCCCGCAUGGGGAUAUUUGCUAAAGAUUCAUCGCUGAUAGAUAGGCAUGCGUUCCAUUAGGCAGUUGGCGGGGUAACGGCCCACCAAACCGACGAUGGAUAGGGGUUCUGAGAGGAAGGUCCCCCACAUUGGUACUGAGACACGGACCAAACUCCUACGGGAGGCAGCAGUGAGGAAUAUUGGUCAAUGGGCGUAAGCCUGAACCAGCCAAGUCGCGUGAGGGAUGAAGGUUCUAUGGAUCGUAAACCUCUUUUAUAAGGGAAUAAAGUGCGGGACGUGUCCCGUUUUGUAUGUACCUUAUGAAUAAGGAUCGGCUAACUCCGUGCCAGCAGCCGCGGUAAUACGGAGGAUCCGAGCGUUAUCCGGAUUUAUUGGGUUUAAAGGGUGCGUAGGCGGCCUUUUAAGUCAGCGGUGAAAGUCUGUGGCUCAACCAUAGAAUUGCCGUUGAAACUGGGAGGCUUGAGUAUGUUUGAGGCAGGCGGAAUGCGUGGUGUAGCGGUGAAAUGCUUAGAUAUCACGCAGAACCCCGAUUGCGAAGGCAGCCUGCCAAGCCAUUACUGACGCUGAUGCACGAAAGCGUGGGGAUCAAACAGGAUUAGAUACCCUGGUAGUCCACGCAGUAAACGAUGAUCACUAGCUGUUUGCGAUACACUGUAAGCGGCACAGCGAAAGCGUUAAGUGAUCCACCUGGGGAGUACGCCGGCAACGGUGAAACUCAAAGGAAUUGACGGGGGCCCGCACAAGCGGAGGAACAUGUGGUUUAAUUCGAUGAUACGCGAGGAACCUUACCCGGGUUUGAACGCAUUUUGACAGCUCUGGAAACAGAGCCUCUAGCAAUAGCGAUUUGCGAGGUGCUGCAUGGUUGUCGUCAGCUCGUGCCGUGAGGUGUCGGCUUAAGUGCCAUAACGAGCGCAACCCUUGCCACUAGUUACUAACAGGUAAAGCUGAGGACUCUGGUGGGACUGCCAGCGUAAGCUGCGAGGAAGGCGGGGAUGACGUCAAAUCAGCACGGCCCUUACAUCCGGGGCGACACACGUGUUACAAUGGCGUGGACAAAGGGAGGCCACCUGGCGACAGGGAGCGAAUCCCCAAACCACGUCUCAGUUCGGAUCGGAGUCUGCAACCCGACUCCGUGAAGCUGGAUUCGCUAGUAAUCGCGCAUCAGCCAUGGCGCGGUGAAUACGUUCCCGGGCCUUGUACACACCGCCCGUCAAGCCAUGGGAGCCGGGGGUACCUGAAGUCCGUAACCGAAAGGAUCGGCCUAGGGUAAAACUGGUGACUGGGGCUAAGUCGUAACAAGGUAGCCGUACCGGAAGGUGCGGCUGGAACACCUCCUUUCU